AUCUCUUCUUAGCCUUUUGGCUAAGAUCAAGUAUAAUAUCUGUUCCUAUUAGGUUAAUAGCUAAUACAUCCUCUAUCUGAGGAGAAUAUAUGAAAUGGAUUUUUGGAGUAGAGCGAGAAAAGGUGCUUGCUCUGUCCACCGGUAUUGCAGUACCUCCAGGUACAGUGCACCAAUG
rnacentral:snRNA from 1 species